rfam:Triticum aestivum genome assembly, contig: Triticum_aestivum_CS42_TGACv1_scaffold_030382_1BL
UCCACUACUCAGUUGGUACAGUACAAAGCUCUUAAUCUUGUGGACGUGGGUUCAAGCCCCAUGGUGGAG